UACCAGCACCCCGAGCGUUGUUCGGAUUCACUGGGCGUAAAGGGUGCGUAGGUGGUGGGGUAAGUCUCGUGUGAAAGCUCGCAGCUUAACUGCGAAAAGUCACGGGAUACUAUUCCGCUGGAGGCUUGGAGGGGGGACUGGAAUACUUGGUGUAGCAGUGAAAUGCGUAGAUAUCAAGUGGAACACCAGUGGCGAAGGCGAGUCCCUGGACAAGACCUGACACUGAGGCACGAAAGCCAGGGGAGCAAACAGG
rnacentral:rRNA from 1 species